rnacentral:misc_RNA from 1 species
GUAGGUGAACCUGCGGAAGGAUCAUUUUAGAAUAUAUUUCUUUAUUCACCUUGUGCAUUAAAAAUAUUUAUCAACUUUUGUAUUUAGUCUAAAAAGUAAUAAAUAAAUUUUCAAAACUUUCAACAACGGAUCUCUUGGUUCUC